AAGCGUUGCCGUAGGCAACGACCCGAAGGGCGAAGCGCGCAGCGCUGAGUAAUCCUUCCCCCGUCAUCC
rnacentral:sRNA from 1 species